AUUGAACGCUGGCGGCAUGCCUUACACAUGCAAGUCGAACGGCAGCGCGGACUUCGGUCUGGCGGCGAGUGGCGAACGGGUGAGUAAUACAUCGGAACGUACCCUGUUGUGGGGGAUAACUAGUCGAAAGAUUAGCUAAUACCGCAUACGACCUGAGGGUGAAAGUGGGGGACCGCAAGGCCUCACGCAGCAGGAGCGGCCGAUGUCUGAUUAGCUAGUUGGUGGGGUAAAGGCCCACCAAGGCGACGAUCAGUAGCUGGUCUGGGAGGACGAUCAGCCACACUGGGACUGAGACACGGCCCAGACUCCUACUGGAGGCAGCAGUGGGGAAUUUUGGACAAUGGGGGCAACCCUGAUCCAGCAAUGCCGCGUGUGUGAAGAAGGCCUUCGGGUUGUAAAGCACUUUUGUCCGGAAAGAAAUCGCGCUGGUUAAUACCUGGCGUGGAUGACGGUACCGGAAGAAUAAGCACCGGCUAACUACGUGCCAGCCGCCGCGGUAA
rnacentral:rRNA from 1 species